rnacentral:rRNA from 1 species
CCCUUAGAUGUUCUGGGCCGCACGCGCGCUACACUGACUACUUCAACGAGUUGUUUCCUUGAUCGAAAGGUCUGGGUAAUCUUUGAAAGGUAGUCGUGAUGGGGAUAGAUCCUUGCAAUUUUUGAUCUUCAACGAGGAAUUCCUAGUAAACGCAAGUCAUCAGCUUGCAUUGAUUACGUCCCUGCCCUUUGUACACACCGCCCGUCGCACCUACCGAUUGAAUGGUCCGGUGAAUCUUUAGGACUGUGGCUGAGGCCUUGCCUUGUGCGGGUCUGGCCGUGGGAAUUUAGUUAAACCUUACCAUUUAGAGGAAGGAGAANUCGUAACA